UGGGGAAUAUUGGGGCAAUGGGGCGAAAGCCUGACCCAGCAACGCCGCGUGAGGGAAGAAGGCCUUCGGGUUGUAAACCUCUGUCCUUAGUGACGAAGGAAGUGACGGUAGCUAAGGAGGAAGCCCCGGCUAACUACGUGCCAGCAGCCGCGGUAAUACGGAGGAUGCGAGCGUUAUCCGGAUUUAUUGGGUUUAAAGGGUGCGCAGGCGGGCGUCUAAGUCAGCGGUGAAAGUUCCCGGCUCAACCGGGUCAGUGCCGAUGAUACUGGGGGCCUUGAAUGCGGUCGAGGCCGGCGGAAUGUGGCGUGUAGCGGUGAAAUGCAUAGAUAUGCCACAGAACACCGAUAGCGAAGGCAGCUGGCCGGGCCUGCAUUGACGCUGAGGCACGAAAGCGUGGGGAUCGAACAGGAUUAGAUACCCUGGUAGU
rnacentral:rRNA from 1 species